CGGGGAAUAGCUCAAGUGGUAGAGCGCAUGCUUAGCAUACAUGAGGUCCUGGGUUCAAUCCCCAGUGCCUCCU
rnacentral:tRNA from 1 species